rnacentral:rRNA from 1 species
UACGUAGGGUGCGAGCGUUGUCCGGAAUUAUUGGGCGUAAAGAGCUCGUAGGCGGUCUGUCGCGUCGGUCGUGAAAACUUGGGGCUUAACCCUGAGCUUGCGGUCGAUACGGGCAUGACUGGAGUUCGGUAGGGGAGACUGGAAUCCUGGUGUAGCGGUGAAUGCGCAGAUAUCAGGAGGAACGACCGGCGGUGAAGGCGGGUCUCUGGGCCGAUACUGACGCUGAGGAGCGAAAGCGUGGGGAGCGAACAGG